AAUAUUUGGUCUAUCCUCCUAGAAACAUUGGAAGAUAUCCCAGUGGAGGUGAGACACCUUGGAGAAGACAGUGAGGCCAAGAGAUCACAUCAAAAGAUCUGCAAGCAAUCAUCUCUUUCCUAUGCAGAACAAAGACAACAUGCAAGUACUUCCUAAAGUAGACAAGGACAUGGCUGCCUUUUAUAGGUUUGCUGCUAAGAUCCGUUCCGCUGAUAUUUGACCAUAUUACGUUAUUAUUCUUUGCUGAUGCUUAAAGAACAACUUCUCCAGUUGCUCAAGAUGUCCACUCUCAAUCAACAGGACUUCCAAAGUUUUAUUGUAACAAGAGGCUGAAAGUUCAUGUGCCUUUGUUUAUCUAUGAAGAUAACUUGAACUUAUAAUUAUGUCCAGUCAUUCAACAUCAUCUUAAGCUUACAUCUCUUGAAUAAUUCAACAUUUUGGCCAACCCCCUACAUGACUAAACAAUAUGCUCACUGCUCAACUAAAGUGCAAGAAGGCUGCAAAAAAGUCAUAGAAACAAGAAGAGGAAAUGAUGGAGAAGUAUAACGAUACUGUUUAGACACUUGUGACUGAUAUCAGGAAGGCCAAAGCCUUGUAGCAGAAGAAGUAACUUGUGAGUGACAUAAAGAGUAACAGAAAGUAAUACUACAGUCAUUCCAGAUACAGCUUAAUUACUGGACAACUUGGCCAGCAUAAGUCACAUUAAGUUCAAGAACUGCAAAUCUCUGCACUUGGGAACAGAGUGACCCCACACAUCAGUGCAGGUUAUGAGGUUGCAAAAGGACCUGGUGUUUACAGUGGGUACUAAUGAUCCAACACUGAGCUUUCAUCAUGAAAAAAACAAACUGCACAUUGGACUACAAUAGGAGAUGUAUGGCCAACAGAUUGAGGGAAGCUAUUAUUUCACUCUGUUCUGUGUUGGAGAGGCCAUAUCUGGAUCCUGGUACAGUUAUAGGCUCUACAGUUCAAGAAAGGUAUUGAGGAAUUGAAGAAGGUUCUGCAUAUGGUCAGGUAUGAAUUUCUGAGGAGUACAUAAGGGUGGAGACCUAUUUGUUCCUCCAGAGAAGGGGCUAAGAGAUCACAGAAUCAUAGAGAGUAACUCAAGUUGGAACCUAUCUGGAUCAAGUCCAAUGCCCUAUUCCUUGCAGGAGUACCUAAAACUAAGCCAUAUGACUAAAAGUGUUGUCCAAAUGCCCCUUAAAAUCUGAGAGACUUAAUCACAGAAUCACAGAAUAUACCAAAUUGGAAGGAACCCACAAGGAUCAUUGAGUCCAACACCUGGCCCUGCACAGACCAUCCCCAAGAAUCACACCAUGUGCCUGAGAGUAUUGUCCAAAUGCUUCUUGAACUCUGGCAGGCUGUGACCACUUCCCUGGGGAGCCGAUUCCAGUACCCAGCCACCCUCUUGGUGAAGAACCUUUUUCUAAUAUCCAACCUAAACCUCCCCUGACACAACUUCAGGCCAUUCCCUCGAGUCCUGUCACUGGUCACCACAGAGAAGAGAUCAGUGUCAGCCUCUCCUCACAAGGAAGUUGUAGACUGCAAUAAGGUCUCCCCUCAGUCUCCUCCAGGCUGAACAGACCAAGUGACCUCAGCUGCUCCUCAUAUGGCUUCCCCCCAAGGCCCUUCACCAUCUUCAUUGUCCUCCUUAUUACUAUGACCACUUCCCUGGGGAGCCUGUUACAAUGCCCAACCACUCUCUCAGUGAAGAACCUUUUACAAAUGUCCAAUUUGAACUUCCUCUCAUGCAGGGGAGGGAGAUCUAAUAACCUACGACUACUAGAUUACAAAGAUGAUGGAUCCAAAUUCAUCCUAAUGGAUGGCUCAUUGUGCCAAAUGAUGUAACAAGGAACAUGGGCCAUAAAUUGCAGCUUGCGAAGUUGUGUAUCCUCCAUCCUUUAAAAAUUUUGAGAUUUGUCUAAACAAAACCUAGGCUGACUUGACCUUCAUCAUUCCCUUUCAGCCAGCAUUACCACAUGCUCUAUUGCUGUAUAUUGUUUUUCUCUCUGGAAUGCUGAACCAAUGUAAUGAAUUUUGAUGUGUUUUAUCCUGACUGUUGCGGGGGGUUUUGGUUUGGGGAUUUUUGUUUGUUUGUUUGUUUGUUUAUUUGUUUCUGUUGCGGGUUUUUUCCUGUUUUGUUGGUUGAGUUUGGGUUUUUUAGGGGGGUUAGGGAGUUUUUGUUUGUGUUUUUUUGUCUGUCAGGUUUUGUUUGUUUGGUUGGCUUUUUUAAUAACAUAACAAAGCAAGUGCAAUAAAGCUGCAUAUUCUUUUCAAAACCUGA